CAGAUGUCCUGGAUUGGUAUCUGUGUGAGGUACACUGCUGACGAAGCCUGGGCUCUUGUGGAAUGAGUGGUCAUGAUGGCUGGAGAUGAAAAAUUUGUCUGUUCAUAGCAAGCUUGAAUACAGGUGGUUAUCCAGAACAAGAUUCUUUGGGUUGACAAGAGCAGCCUUUAUUCUUUCCAAUAUUGCUACAAAGCAUUGCAGAAGGACUUAGUCCUCUCACUAUAAAAGGUCCACCUAGGAAGGCCCCCCCACCUUUAGAAGAUGACACUGAUGACCUCCAAGUGAAGAGACCACUUGUGGUGAUAGAAGGACCUGCUGAGGUGAUCCGCCAACACAUUCCGGGCUCCCGGGAGGGAGCCGAGGACCAGGGGAGGGACCAUAAGUACUGAGUCCAAGUGGUGUCUGCUCAAGGAGUAUACUGAUGCUACCCACAUCUAGAGCGACCUAAGGCAUAACCUGGCAUACCGAACCAUCAGGCCCAGUGCCCUGAUGGUGGUUUGGACUGAGCUGAUGCUGUCUUGCACUUGAGCCUGCGACUGACCUUUGAUCAUCCAUGCGUUGAGGGCUCCUGUCUUGGAGAUCCUUAGAACCGAGGAGGCUGCUGGGGCCUGAAAUGUUUUCUGGAGGCAGAUGGGGCAUACAGGCCUAAGGAUCGUAGGGUGGCUGUGGCCCUUGAGUCCUUCAGUCUAUGAAGUCCAUCUGCUCCAAGAAAAGGGAGGAGCCUUCAAAUGGGAUGUCCUGGAUUGACUGUUGAACCUCAUGGGGAAGGCUGAAGGACUGGAGCCAGGAACAGCGCCUCAUGGUGACUGUGGAGGCCAUUGUCCAGACUGACGAGUCGGCAGCAUCCAGAGCCACCUGGAGAGAGGUCCUGGCCACGUUCUUACUCUCUCCUAAGAGGGUUGCAAACUCCUGUCUUGAACUUAUUCAGGAAGUCCCAUAGAUUAAAAUCGUAUCUCCCCAGCAAAGCUCA